rnacentral:rRNA from 1 species
GAUGAACGCUGACAGAAUGCUUAACACAUGCAAGUCAACUUGAACUUCGGUUUGGGUGGCGGACGGGUGAGUAAUGCGUAAAGAACUUGCCUCACAGUUAGGGACAACAUUUGGAAACGAAUGCUAAUACCUGAUAUUAUGAUUUUAGGGCAUCCUAGAAUUAUGAAAGCUAUAUGCGCUGUGAGAGAGCUUUGCGUCCCAUUAGCUAGUUGGAGAGGUAACGGCUCACCAAGGCGAUGAUGGGUAGCCGGCCUGAGAGGGUGAACGGCCACAAGGGGACUGAGACACGGCCCUUACUCCUACGGGAGGCAGCAGUGGGGAAUAUUGGACAAUGGACCAAGAGUCUGAUCCAGCAAUUCUGUGUGCACGAUGAAGUUUUUCGGAAUGUAAAGUGCUUUCAGUUGAGAAGAAAAAAAUGACGGUACCAACAGAAGAAGUGACGGCUAAAUACGUGCCAGCAGCCGCGGUAAUACGUAUGUCACAAGCGUUAUCCGGAUUUAUUGGGCGUAAAGCGCGUCUAGGUGGUUAUGUAAGUCUGAUGUGAAAAUGCAGGGCUCAACUCUGUAUUGCGUUGGAAACUGUGUAACUAGAGUACUGGAGAGGUAAGCGGAACUACAAGUGUAGAGGUGAAAUUCGUAGAUAUUUGUAGGAAUGCCGAUGGGGAAGCCAGCUUACUGGACAGAUACUGACGCUAAAGCGCGAAAGCGUGGGUAGCAAACAGG